AGAGCGAGAAAGAACACAUGCAUCUCGCAGGCAGACUGACUCUGAAAAAGGCCAACAAGGCCUACGUCAAGCACACCAAGCUUUUUCUUUCAAACUUAUCACUCAGGGUGAAAGAUGGAGGUGUGUUAAGAAGGCAAGUAGGAUGCUACUUGAAACCCAGAAACAAGUCUACCAAAACAGCUUGGGUAGGAAGACAGUUAACUUUGAAGAUUUAACUGGAGGAGAAUGUUACUCAUUGUAAAUAAUUCUUCAACCAGAAGUGUGCUGCCUUUAGUGAUGGCUAAUACAACCUAUGAAUGCAUAUCUUAGAAGAGAGAUACAUGUAAGUUAAGGGCAGAAACCCAAAAUGAUCAAAUUAAAAGCUCA